rnacentral:rRNA from 1 species
AGUCGAGCAGGGACGAAAGUCGGGCUUAGUGAUCCGGUGGUUCCGCAUGGAAGGGCCAUCGCUCAACGGAUAAAAGCUACCCUGGGGAUAACAGGCUUAUCUCCCCCAAGAGUCCACAUCGACGGGGAGGUUUGGCACCUCGAUGUCGGCUCGUCGCAUCCUGGGGCUGUAGUCGGUCCCAAGGGUUGGGCUGUUCGCCCAUUAAAGCGGCACGCGAGCUGGGUUCAGAACGUCGUG